rnacentral:rRNA from 1 species
UACAGAGGUCCCAAGCGUUGUUCGGAUUCACUGGGCGUAAAGGGUGCGUAGGCGGUCGGGUAAGUCUGAUGUGAAAUCUCACAGCUUAACUGUGAAACUGCAUUGGAUACUAUUCGGCUAGAGAGUUGGAGGGGGGACUGGGAAUUCUUGGUGUAGCAGUGAAAUGCGUAGAUAUCAAGAGGAACACCAGUGGCGAAGGCGAGUCCCCUGGACAACUUCUGACGCUGAGGCACGAAAGCUAGGGGAGCAAACAGG